UGAAAACAAGACUUUUACUGAAAGAAAAGAAGAAGCUUCUAAAUGUAAGGAGAAUGGAAAUAGAGCUUAUACACAAAACAACUUUAAAGAAGCGGUUUUAUGGUAUAGCAGAGGCCUUCUUUUAACUCCUUUUUGCUUUUAUUUUCUUUCUAAUAGAAGUUUGACUUUUCUGAAGCUAAACGAAUAUGAAAUGGCGUAUUCUGAUGCGUCGCGUUGUAUUCAGUUGGCGCCUACUUGGCCUAAAGGCUACUUUCGUCAAGGAAUCGCGCUUCAAAAAUUAAAUCUUCCACGUGAUGCGGCCGUCGCCUUUUUACAAGGGCUUCAACACGAUCCAGAGAAUUAUACGCUUUAUAUUGCUCUAAAAGGAACUUUCGAUCCUGAAGAUUUCGAAAACUUUUAUAGAA